rnacentral:tRNA from 3 species
GGCAAGGUGGCCGAGUGGUUAAGGCGUCAGUUUUGAAAGCUGAUUCCCUAGGGAUCGUCGGUUCGAAUCCGGCCCUUGUCG